rnacentral:rRNA from 1 species
GACGAACGCUGGCGGCGUGCUUAAUACAUGCAAGUCGAACGGAAAGGCCCGGCUCUUGCGGGGUGCUCGAGUGGCGAACGGGUGUGUAACACGUGAGUAACCUGUCCCUGACUUUGGGAUAACUUCAGGAAACUGGGGCUAAUAUCGGAUAGGAGCUCUUGCUGCACGGUGGGGGUUGGUAAGAUUCGGUGGUUCGGGAUGGACUCGAUGCUUAUCAGCUUGUUGGUGGGGUAGUGGCUUACAAAGGCUUUGACGGGUAGCCGGCCUGAGAGGGGUACCGGCGACAUUGGGACUGAGAUACGGCCCAGAAUCCUACGGGAGGCAGCAGUGGGGAAUAUUGCGCAAUGGGGGGAAGCCUGAGGCAGCAACGCCGCGAGCGGGAUGACCGCCUUCGAGUUGUAAACCGCUUUCGCCUGAGACGAGGCGGGAGUGACGGUAAUGGGUAAGGAAGCACCGGCUAACUACGUG